rnacentral:rRNA from 1 species
UUACGGGAGGCAGCAGUGAGGAAUAUUGGACAAUGGGCGGAAGCCUGAUCCAGCAAUACCGCGUGUGUGAAGAAGGCCUUAGGGUUGUAAAGCACUUUCAAUGGGGAGGAAUACCUUUUAGCUAAUACCUAGAAGAAUGACAUUACCUAUAGAAGAAGCACCGGCUAACUCCGUGCCAGCAGCCGCGGUAAUACGGAGGGUGCAAGCGUUAAUCGGAAUUACUGGGCGUAAAGCGUGCGUAGGCGGCUUGAUAAGCCAGAUGUGAAAGCCCUGGGCUUAACCUGGGAACUGCAUUUGGAACUGUUAGGCUAGAGUUGAGUAGAGGUAAGUGGAAUUUCAGGUGUAGCGGUGAAAUGCGUAGAGAUCUGAAGGAACACCAGUGGCGAAGGCGACUUACUGGACUCAAACUGACGCUGAGGUACGAAAGCGUGGGUAGCAAACAGGAUUAGAUACCCCGGU